rnacentral:rRNA from 1 species
UCCAUACCGGAAGUGUGCCAGCAGCCGCGGUAAUACGUAGGUGGCAAGCGUUAUCCGGAUUUAUUGGGCGUAAAGGGCGCGUAGGCGGCUCGUCGCGUCCGGUGUGAAAGUCCAUCGCUUAACGGUGGAUCUGCGCCGGGUACGGGCGGGCUGGAGUGCGGUAGGGGAGACUGGAAUUCCCGGUGUAACGGCGGAAUGUGUAGAUAUCGGGAAGAACACC